GGAGGGUUUUGGUAGGGGAGAAGCGCCGCCGCGCUGGUGAUUCCGGCCAUGGCUCCGUGGAGGAAUUGUUUUGUCUCCUGGCAAGGUCCAUGCCGAAUGCAAUUGUUCCUGCGGCCGCGGCGGCGCACAAGGGCAAGAAGGGCCCCUUCUUCGUCCACCAAGAGGAAGGCGGGCGGGGAUGGGAAGAAGAUGGGAAGAGGGGCGAUCUCCUCAUCGUCGGCGAUGACGGUGACGUUGGAGGAGAUCCGGGCUCUUCCUCCAUCUGCGGCUGCGACACGACCUUUCUAUCCUCGGAGUCUGCUACGCGGGACAAGAAGCAUCAAGCAGCCCCAGCCAUGGACGUGUGUGGUAUGCGGCUGGGUCAACCACCCAACGCAUCAUCUUCUUUACGAUCUCCCAGCAUUCGAGUGCAACGGGUGCGGCUGCAAGCCCUAUUAUCAGGGUGAUACUGAUUUUGGUUUCUGCUUUGCUGACCUUGGUGCUAAUAUGACGUGCCCGAUUGGCAAUGUCAAGAUGCAGAGAGGAAAUGAAUGCAUGGCAAAUGCACUUGCAUCAUGUGUGGAGAUAACGAAUCGAGUGAUGAUGACUCUCUUGGGACAGCCUGUAAGUAAAGAAGGACCUUUCAUUGAUAUUGAUGAUCUCAUAUCAAAAUACCAUCAAAUUAGGCUGACAGAAGGAAAAAUAGACCGGAAUGGGUAUACUGUUGACUCAUUGUUAUCCAUGAUCCAUGUGUUUCAAGUUGAUGGUGUGAAUGAGCUGGAGAAAGAUGACUCAGGCAACCAUACCGUCGGGGCAUCUAAGUUGCAUAAAGUUCACGACUGGCUUUGGCUCGAUGGAAAUGAUUUUGUUGCUCUAAGCUCUCUGUUAGCUGAUGGAUAUCCGUUAAUCUGUGGAUUUCCAGUUGGACCAAGAUUUUCUUACUUGGAGUACGGUGAAAUUUACUGUCCACCACCAAAUGACAGGGCUGCUGUUGAUCAUUGUGCUGUAUUGGUCGGUGCCCACCGAGAAGGAAGAUCGAACUGGUUUUAUUUUCUGAAUUCACAUGACACAGAUUUCUGUCAAAGGACUGAGUAUAAAGGCGAUGGAAUAGACUGUGGUGUUGGAGCUAUAGAAACUGGCCAUUUUAGUUUAAAUCCAAUUCAAAUUUUAAGAUUCAAUGGGAGGAAGGAACAGGCAGUGCAACACGACAAUAAACCAGGCUUGGGAGGUUAUUGACUUUCUGACCGAGGAAAAAAUUGCACCAGCCGGUAAUCGAACCGGGUCUGUACCGUAGCAGGAUCGUCAACAGCUUGAACAAUGUCCGACUCCGGUGAAACUACACUAGCUAAAAAGAGACAUUACAUGCUUGCUCUAAUCUUUAAACAAGCAUGGACCAAUUGACCAAUUUUACAAUUUAUCAACUUUUGUUUAAGCCCGUUGCAAUGCACGGGUAUUUUGCUAGUAACUACGAGAGUAAUUUUGGCCGUGAGCAUUAGCAAUCCACCGUCCGUGGCCCGUUCAACUUACCAAGCAAACCAAAUCUGCUUGGAUGCCUACGGUCAUUGCCAACCAAUCAACCUGUCAGUACACGCUAUAAAUAUUAGAUGCUACUAGUUACUCCCCUCCACUAAUCCUCCACUAAUGGGUUUGGGAUAUAUAUAUAUAUAUAUAUACACACAUCGGCCAAACGAGAUAAGUAUCGGCUUCAUCUAUGUUUUUUCUUGUUGUGAGAUUAAGAUGCUAUGGUUUUUAAUUUCUCGCACGACUAGAUGUAUUAUUUGUCCAGCCUUUGC